rnacentral:rRNA from 1 species
CGUAGGGGGCAAGCGUUGUCCGGAAUCAUUGGGCGUAAAGCGCGUGUAGGCGGCCAGAAAAGUCCGCUGUGAAAACUCGAGGCUCAACUUCGAGCUGUCGGUGGAAACUUUCUGGCUAGAGUCCGGAAGAGGAGAAUGGAAUUCCUGGUGUAGCGGUGAAAUGCGCAGAUAUCAGGAAGAACACCCGUGGCGAAGGCGGUUCUCUGGGACGGUACUGACGCUGAGACGCGAAAGCGUGGGGAGCGAACAGG